GUCUAGAGAGUGUCUGGUGAGGCAGGUCUAGAGAGUGUUUAGUGAGAAAGGUCUAGAGAGUGUCUAGUGAGGCAGGUCUAGAGAGUGUCUGGUGAGGCAGGUCUAGAGAGUGUCUGGUGAGGCAGGUCUAGAGGGGGUCUUGUGAGGCAGGUCUAGAGAGUGUCUAGUGAGGCAGGUCUAGAGAGUGUCUGGUGAGUCAGGUCUAGAGAGUGUCUGGUGAGGCAGGUCUAGUGAGGCAGGUCUAGAGAGUGUCUGGUGAGGCAGGUCUAGAGAGUGUCUGGUGAGGCAGGUAUAGAGAGUGUCUGGUGGGGCAGGUCUAGAGAGUGUCUGGUGAGGCAGGUCUAGAGAGUGUCUGGUGAAGCAGGUCUAGAGAGUGUCUGGUGAAGCAGGUCUAGAGAGUGUUUAGUGAGGCAGGUCUAGAGAGUGUCUAGUGAGGCAGGUCUAGAGAGUGUUUAGUGAGGCAGGUCUAGAGAGUGUCUAGUGAGGCAGGUCUAGAGAGUGUCUAGUGAGGCAGGUCUAGAGAGUGUCUAGUGAGGCAGGUCUAGAGAGUGUCUGGUGAGGCAGGUGUAGAGAGUGUCUAGUGAGGCAGGUCUAGAGAGUGUCUGGUGAGGCAGGUCUAGAGAGUGUUUAGUGAGGCAGGUCUAGAGAGUGUUUAGUGAGGCAGGUCUAGAGAGUGUUUAGUGAGGCAGGUCUAGAGAGUGUUUAGUGAGGCAGGUCUAGAGAGUGUCUAGUGAGGCAGGUGUAGAGAGUGUCUAGUGAGGCAGGUCUGUACAUGAUCAUGACAUGCUGAGGUGUGUUUGUAUUUUGUGGAAGGGAAAUCUGAUAGGUGGAGCCACUCAUUGAAUCCCUUUGACAUUCCUGCCCAUCUGAAA
rnacentral:lncRNA from 1 species